rnacentral:rRNA from 1 species
AUUGAACGCUGGCGGCAUGCUUUACACAUGCAAGUCGAACGGUAACAGGCCGCAAGGUGCUGACGAGUGGCGAACGGGUGAGUAAUGCAUCGGAACGUGCCCAGUCGUUGGGGAUAACUACUCGAAAGAGUAGCUAAUACCGCAUACGAUCUAUGGAUGAAAGCGGGGGACCGUAAGGCCUCGCGCGAUUGGAGCGGUCGAUGUCAGAUUAGGUAGUUGGUAGGGUAAAGGCUCACCAAGCCAACGAUCUGUAGCUGGUCUGAGAGGACGACCAGCCACACUGGGACUGAGACACGGCCCAGACUCCUACGGGAGGCAGCAGUGGGGAAUUUUGGACAAUGGGCGCAAGCCUGAUCCAGCAAUGCCGCGUGCAGGAAGAAGGCCUUCGGGUUGUAAACUGCUUUUGUACGGAACGAAACGGCUCUGGUUAAUACCCGGGGCUAAUGACGGUACCGUAAGAAUAAGCACCGGCUAACUACGUG